rnacentral:lncRNA from 1 species
AGAUUUUACCCCCAUUUCAUGGAUAAAUGCUACCCAUGAGAAAAUAACUUACCCAUCUAGAGAAGCAUAAGAAUAUGGGUAAGUUGACUAGCUUUCCCAUGAUAUUUAUCCGCCAAAGAACGGGCCCUAAGUGCUAGUGUUCCCGUUAAUGAGCUUUUCAUGUGUAAUAACUCAUUCGUCUUGAUAUCUUGGUAAUGAUGCAGACCAUAUAUUCUUUGGAUGAUGAUUCUUUUUUGUAGCUGC